rnacentral:lncRNA from 1 species
UACGUGAGUUAUUUUUUUGCUUCUUUUUUCUAAGCAUACUUACCUGUAUAUUGUUAUCAAGAAAUGAGAAGAUUGAUAGUGUUAUUAGUGUUCUUGUUUUGCUAAAUUUUGUAUAUUGUUAUCAAGAAAUGAGAAGAUUGAUAGUGUUAUUAGUGUUCUUGUUUUGCUAAAUUUUGUAUAUUGUUAUCAAGAAAUGAGAAGAUUGAUAGUGUUAUUUGUGUUCUUGUUUUGCUAAAUAUUGUAUAUUGUUAUCAAGAAAUGAGAAGAUUGAUAGUGUUAUUAGUGUUCUUGUUUUGCCAAAUUUUGUAUAUUGUUAUCAAGAAAUGAGAAGAUUGAUAGUGUUAUUAGUGUUCUUGUUUUGCUAAAUUCUGUAUAUUGUUAUCAAGAAAUGAGAGAAUUGAUAGUGUUAUUAGUGUUCUUGUUUUACAAAAUUCUGUAUAUUGUUAUCAAGAAAUGAGAGGAUUGAUAGUGUUUUUAGUGUUCUUGUUUUGGUAAAUUUUGUAUAUUGUUAUAAAGAAAUGAGAAGAUUGUUAGUGUUAUUAAUGUUCUUGUUUUGGUAAAUUUUGUAUAUUGUUACCAAGAAAUGAGAAGAUUGAUAAUGUUAUUACUAUUCUUGUUUUGCUAAAUUUUGUAUAUUGUUAUCAAGAAAUAAGAAGAUUGAUAGUGUUAUUAGUAUUCUUGUUUUGCUAAAUUUUGUAUAUUGUUAUCAAGAAAUGAGAAGAUUGGUAGUGUUAUUUCACAAGAACAAAACGAUUUAAAACAUAUAACAAUAGUUCUUUACAGAAGAUUGGUAGUGUUAUUAGUGUUCUUGUUUUGCUAAAUUUUGUAUAUUGUUAUCAAGAAAUGAGAAGAUUGAUAAUGUUAUUAGUGUUCUUGUUUUGCUAAAUUUUGUAUAUUGUUAUCAAGAAAUGAGAACAUUGAUAGUGUUAUUAGUGUUCUUGUUUUGCUAAAUUUUGUAUAUUGUUAUCAAGAAAUCAGAGGAUUGAUAGAGUUAUUAGUGUUCUUGUUUUGUUAAAUUUUGUAUAUUGUUAUCAAGAAAUCAGAAGAUUGAUAGUGUUAUUAGUGUUUUUGUUUUCCUAAAUUUUGUAUAUUGUUAUCAAGAAAUGAGUAGAUUGAUAGUGUUAUUAGUAUUCUUGUUUUGCUAAAUUUUAUAUAUUGUUAUCAAGAAAUGAGAGGAUUGAUAGUGUUAUUAGUGUUCUUGUUUUGCUAAAUUCUGUAUAUUGUUAUCAAAAAAUGAGAGGAUUGAUAGUGUUAUUAGUGUUCUUGUUUUGCAACUUUCUGUAUAUUGUUAUCAAGAAAUGAGAAGAUUGAUAGUGUUAUUAGUGUUCUUGUUUUGCUAAAUUUUGUAUAUUGUUAUCAAGAAAUGAGAAGAUUGAUAGUGUUAUUAGUGUUCUUGUUUUGCUAGUUUUUGUAUAUUGUUAUAUCAAGAAAUGAGAAAGAUGAUAGGGUUAUUAGUGUCUUGUUUUUGCUAAAUUUAUAUUGUUAUCAAGAAAUGAGAAGGAUUGAUAGUGUUAUUAGUGUUUUUUUUGCUAAAUUUGGUAUAUUGUUAUCAAGAAAUGAGAGAUUGAUAGGUUAAGUGUUCUUGUUUUGCUAAAAUUAUAUAUUUAUCAGAAAUGAGAAGAUUGAUAGUGUUAUUAGUGUUCUUUUUUGCUAAAUUUGUAUAUGUGUAUCAAGAAUGAGAGGAUUGAUAGUGUUAUUAGUUUCUUGUUUGCUAAAAUUGUAUAUUUUAUCAAGAAAUGAGAGAUAGAUGAUAGUUAUUAUGUUCUUGUUUUGCUAAAUUUGUAUAUUGUUAUCAAGAAAUGAGAAAGAUAAAGUGUUAUUAUAGUGUUCUUGUUUUGCUAAAUUUUGUAUAUUGUUAUCAAGAAAUGAGAGAUUGAUAGUGUUAUUAGUGUUUUUUUUGCUAAAUGUAUAUUGUUAUCAAGAAAUAGAAGAUUGAUAUGUUAUUAGUGUUCUUGUUUUGCUAAAUUUGUAUAUUGUUAUCAAGAAAUGAAAAGAUUGAUAGUGUUAUUAGUGUUCUUGUUUUGCAAAUUUUAUAUUGUUUAUAAGAAAUGAGAAGAUUGAUAGUGUUAUUAGUGUCUGUUUUUUUUUAAAUUUUUGUAAUGUUAUCAAGAAAUGAGAAGAUUGAUAGUGUUUAUAGUUUCUUGUUUUCUAUAAUUUUGUAUAUUGUUAUCAAGAAAUGAGAAGAUUGAUAGUGUUAUUAGUGUUUGUUUGCUAAAUUUGUAUAUUGUUAUCAAGAAAAUGAAGAGUUGAUAGUGUUAUUAGUGUUCUUGUUUUGCUAAUUUUGUAUAUUGUUAUCAAGAAAUGAGAAGAUUGAUAGUGUUAUUAGUGUUCUUGUUUUGCUAAAUUUGUAUAUUGUUAUCAAGAAAUGAGAAGAUUGAUAGUGUUAUUAGUGUUCUUGUUUUGCUAAUUUUGUAUAUGUUAUCAAGAAAUGAGAAGAUUGAUAGUUUAUUUAGUGUUUUUCUUGUUUUGCUAAAUUUUGAUAUUGUUUAUUCAAAAAUGAGAAGAUUGAUAGUGUAUUAUGUUUCUUUGUUUUGCUAAAUUUUAUAUUGUUAUCAGAGAAAUGAUUGAUAGUGUUAUUAGUGUUCUUGUUUUGCUAAAUUUUUAUAUGUUAUCAAGAAAUGAGAGAUUGAUAGUGUGAUUAUAUGUUCUGUGUUUUGCUAAAUUUGAUAUUGUUAACAAGAAAUGAGAGAUUGAUAGUUUUAUAUAUGUUCUUGUUUUUGAAAUUUUUAUAUUUAUCAAGAAAUGAGAAGAUUGAUAGUGUUAUUUAUGGUCUUGUUUUUGCUAAUAUUGUAUAGUUAUCAAGAAAUGAGAAGAAUGAUUGUUAUUAGUGUUCUGUUUUGCUAAAAUUUGUAUAUUGUUAUCAAGAAAUGAGAAGAUGAUAGUUGUUAUUAGUGUUCUUGUUUUUGUAAAUAUUUGUAUAUUGUUAUCAAGAAAUGAGAAGAUUGAUAUGUUAAUAGGUUUGUUUUGCUAAAUUUUUAUAUUGUUAUCAAGAAAUAGAGAAUUGAUAUAGUGUUAUAGUGUUUCUUUUUUGCUAAAUUUUGUAUAUUGUUAUCAAGAAAUUAGAAGAAUAGAGUUAUAUGAUGUUUCUUGUUUUGCUAAAUUUUGUUGCUAUAUUGUUAUCAAAAAUGAGAAGAUUGAAGUGUUAUUAGUGUUUCUUGUUUUGCAAAUAUUUGUAUAUUUUAUCAAGAAUGAGAAGAUUGAUAGUGUUAUUAGUGUUCUUGUUUUUUU